GGCCUAAUAGCGAAAUUGACAUCGCAUCCACUGCCGUUGGAGAAUUUCUGUGACGGGAAGUCCCUCGUUCAAAUCGAGGUUAGGUCA